rnacentral:lncRNA from 1 species
UCCUCGUCUCUUCCCCCCUCUCAGGCUACAGAAGCAGUUCACUGCCAUGCUCCCUGAUUCAGUAGCUCACCGGUGGUGGGCUCCUUGACUCCUUCGCCUCUCAGACUCAGCAUCAAGGUAUGAUCCAGUGCACCCGCUCCUCUCCUACAGAUUUCUAUCUAAUGGCAGCUCCCCUCCUGUAGGCUAAAAACUUCUCCAAUUUUGUGUUCUUUUGCGCGCUGUUUCUACUUAAUCUCCACCUUCACUAUGAAUGGGAAAAGAGAAAAACAUCAAGCUAAUCUGCUGUUCCUAGAAGAUAACUGUUUGUUGUUAAUUUUUCGCCGCUGCGCUAUUGCAGUGUCCUGGCUGGAAUUGCCAGAAUUAUGGCCAGUACGGAAUGCAAGCUGCUGCGUGCUGUUUUUGUUCUAAAGAAGAAUGAUCAGGUAUUCUGUCCGGAAUGGAAGGGGUUAAAUAGGUAUGCUCUAUUGAUCUAGGACAUCAUAUUCUAUCAACUAAAGAAUAUUUGCCAUUUGGCAGUGUGACUUAAAUAUAUAUUAAAUUCAGGAAUAGCAAAAAACACCCCAUCACUAUCUGCCCACAGCGGUACACAUAGUGGCCAUCCGAAAGUUUGCAUCUGUCUGACUAACCGGCAAUCCCAUAUAGCAGUAGUGACUGAUUCUUUCAGCCAAGGAGACAUCAAAAUCACAAGGACCACAGCAAUCCCCUGACCUUUUGCCGAAACCGAUCACGCAUUACCCUGAACAAUAGGAGCCAUGCUUUACAGUGAACACCUG